CAGUAGGGAUAGCCCAGAGAAAUUUGGAUUAAUACCUCAUAGUAUAGAACAAUCGCAUGAUUGAGCUAUUAAAGUCACAACGGCAAAAGAUGAGCAUGCGUCCCAUUAGCUAGAUGGUAAGGUAACGGCUUACCAUGGCGACGAUGGGUAGGGGUCCUGAGAGGGAGAUCCCCCACACUGGUACUGAGACACGGACCAGACUCCUACGGGGAGGCCAGCAGUGAGGAAUAUUGGACAAUGGGCGCAAGCCUGAUCCAGCCAUGCCGCGUGCAGGAUGACGGUCCUAUGGAUUGUAAACUGCUUUUGUACAGGAAGAAACACUCCCUCGUGAGGGAGCUUGACGGUACUGUAAGAAUAAGGAUCGGCUAACUCCGUG
rnacentral:rRNA from 1 species